AUUGACUCCUAUGUAUGGGCGUCGGAGUUUCAGUACAGGAAACAGAAAGAUUAAGACGAGAAAGACAUUAUGGGAGAAGGAUGGAGAAAACUCACAGUCGUGGUGUUCAUCUUCGUAGCCCUUGCUUCUGGAUGGAUGGUGGUGGAGACGGAAGGAAAGACUUGUUACAAGCAGAGCCCGUCGUUCAAGGGACUGUGUACUUCAAAGGAUGCAUGUGUUAAAGCUUGCGAUUUGGAUAUGUGGUACGACGGAUUUUGCUCAAAUGGUUUAUGCAUUUAUACCGUGCCUUGCUGACUGUCACUAUGUUAUGUAAUUGUAAUCUGGUCUGGCAUUGACCAAAGUUGCAAUGUUAUCUUCGAAUAAAUAAGCUGCUGAUUGCUGCUGUUCAACUA